rnacentral:rRNA from 1 species
AUUGAACGCUGGCGGCAUGCUUUACACAUGCAAGUCGGACGAGUGGCGAACGGGUGAGUAAUAUAUUGGAACGUACCGAGUAAUGGGGGAUAACCAAUCGAAAGAGUGGCUAAUACCGCAUACUAUUCGAGCGGCCAAUAUCGGAUUAGCUAGUGGGUGGGGUAAAGGCCUACCAAGGCGACGAUCAGUAGCGGGUCUGAGAGGAUGAUCAGCCACACUUGGACUGAGACCCGGCCCAGACUCCUACGGGAGGCAGCAGUGGGGAAUUUUGGACAAUGGGCGCAAGCCUGAUGCAGCCAUGCCGCGUGUCUGAAGAAGGCCUUCGGGUUGUAAAGGACUUUUGUUGGGGAAGCGUUACCUAAAGAAUAAGCACCGGCUAACUACGUGCCAGCAGCCGCGGUAAUAC